rnacentral:rRNA from 1 species
CACACGACUCUCGGCAACGGAUAUCUCGGCUCUCGCAUCGAUGAAGAACGUAGCGAAAUGCGAUACCUGGUGUGAAUUGCAGAAUCCCGUGAACCAUCGAGUCUUUGAACGCAAGUUGCGCCCGAGGCCAUCCGGUCGAGGGCACGCCUGCCUGGGCGUCAC